UUGUAUUUUCACUUCCAGAUUCAGAUUUUCAUUUUCUGUCAAUCAUUGAGUCCUCAUUCGAACAUUUCCGCAAACAAUAAUCAACUUCCUCAAACGCUACUCACGUUCGAAUCUUCCGCCGCCAUGGCGGCCGCCGGAGCAUGCCUCUUCUCCGCCGCGCUCUUCCGCCGGCCGGCUGGAAAACCGAGCUCCAGCCGGAUCUCGAGUACGACUCCUCGCCUCGCCGUGUCGGUGGAUCGGGUUCCGGCGUCGACGGCGGCGGCGGCGGCGGCGGAGAGCGGAGAAGGAAAUGGUGCGGUGGUGAGAGAGAAGCGUAGGGAAGAGAAGAAUGAGAAGGAGAAGGAGAAUCGACGCAUGAACGGUUGGAAGGAGUAUUUGGAGUAUUCGAAGGAGCUGAUUGAACCGGACGGUGGACCGCCGCGGUGGUUUUCGCCGUUGGAGUGCGCUUCGCGAUUGGAUAAUUCUCCUCUUCUGCUCUUUUUGCCGGUGUAAUAGACAAAAAGGAAGCACUGAGUGUGGGUAUUACGUCAUGCAUUGGAUGUCAACUAUAAUCUUAGGAAAUUUCCAGAAUAAUUGGAAAAUGUAUUUCACUGAUCCUAGACCAUUGGAACCAGAAAGAUUGAAGGCACUUCGCAACCAGUGGGCAAAGUACUAUUUGAAAGUGAAAAAUGAAACUUAGGAUGUUUAGACAAUCUUGUAAUUGUAGUUUAUAUUUACUUACUUAAUUUACAAUUCAUGUCUCAACAUUAAAUAUGUUUUAAAUUCAUAGUAAUUAGUAAAUUUCUUAUUGAAUUUUCUGGUAAAAA